UACGAAGGGGGGCUAGCGUUGCUCGGAAUCACUGGGCGUAAAGGGGCGCGUAGGCGGUCGUGACAAGUCACUUGUGAAAUCUCCGGGCUUAACUCGGAACGGUCAAGUGAUACUGUCGGACUAGAGUACAGAAGGGGGCAACUGGAAUUCUUGGUGUAGCGGUGAAAAUGCGCAGAUAUCAGGGAGGGAAACACCCUAUU
rnacentral:rRNA from 1 species